AUCCAGCUGCAGAGUUCUAAAUAGGACGAAAUGCGCGUCCUGGAU
rnacentral:hammerhead_ribozyme from 1 species